AUUCUUUUGUUAGGUUAUAUUCUGCCGUCAGACAAUUAGCUAGAUGACCGCAGUAUCGUCCGUGUUUGAUGAAAUCGAGCCCACUGAUAUCGCAAAAUCAUGUGAUGUUGAAGAAACGUCGUUGACUGUUUAUAGGAUUUCGGAGGACGAUCUCAUCUCAGUCUUAUGGAGUUGCUGGAAGGUGUUGAUCGUCAAUUCAAAAAACUUUGGUGGCUUCUUAAGAGAUCUAUGAUGGAUUGUUUGAAAAUUUACACUCUUUUGUGAAAAGAUAUAUGGCAGGUAACGAAACUGAGUCAUGCCAUUAUAUGUGAACGAUGAGAGCUUUGAGACAAAAGUCAAUAAUAAACAAAGUACUGUAGUCAAACUAGCUUUACACUCAUCGGUCACAUUAGAAAGCAAUUGAGACAAAAGCUCUUGCAGCCUCCACCCUCUGAAAAUCUUUUUUUCCAGGAAGAGACUUUUUGAUUCUUUUUUUGGAUACAUUGACCAGUUUUGGUGUUCACCGCUUCUAUAAAACUUCCCAUAGUAAUACCAUAUAACAUUUGGCAUAUCUUUAUCCCCCAUGAACUUGUUCACAACGCGAAGAUUCUUGCCAAAUAUAUAUAAACCAAUAAUAAAACUAUCAUGUUCAAUCGCGCUCCAACAUUCUUCACUUGAUGAACACGGAACUGAAACCAAACCAUUGUUUGUUUCACAACCUACAUUACAAAACUCACCCUUUCUCCCCAUUUCCCACCAAACCCUUCACCUUUCUCACGGAUUCUCCCCCAAAUUGGUUCAUUCUCAUCAAUUUCACCAAAUUCUCCUAUAAAUCGAUAAAUCCGCCCACCCACCACAUCUUCGAU